rnacentral:rRNA from 1 species
GACCAGACUCCUACGGGAGGCAGCAGUGGGGAAUAUUGCACAAUGGGGGAAACCCUGAUGCAGCGACGCCGCGUGAGUGAAGAAGUCUUUCGGUAUGUAAAGCUCUAUCAGCGGGGAAGAAGAAGGACGGUACCUGAGUAAGAAGCCCCGGCUAACUACGUGCCAGCAGCCGCGGUAAUACGUAGGGGGCAAGCGUUAUCCGGAUUUACUGGGUGUAAAGGGAGCGUAGACGGCGAAGAAAGUCUGAGGUGAAAGCCCGCGGCUCAACCGCGGAAUGGCUUUGGAAACUUUUUUGCUGGAGUACCGGAGAGGUAAGCGGAAUUCCUAGUGUAGCGGUGAAAUGCGUAGAUAUUAGGAGGAACACCAGUGG